rnacentral:rRNA from 1 species
CAUAGGUUUGGUCCCAGCCUUCCUGUUAACGCUUAAUAAACUUACACAUGCAAGCAUCUACACCCCAGUGAGAAUGCCCUCUAGGUUAUUAAAACUAAGAGGAGCUGGCAUCAAGCACACACCCUGUAGCUCACGACGCCUUGUCUUAACCACACCCCCACGGGAAACAGCAGUGACAAAAAUUAAGCCAUAAACGAAAGUUUGACUAAGUUAUAUUAAUUAGGGUUGGUAAAUCUCGUGCCAGCCACCGCGGUCAUACGAUUAACCCAAGCUAACAGGAGUACGGCGUAAAACGUGUUAAAGCACCAUACCAAAUAGGGUUAAAUUCUAACUAAGCUGUAAAAAGCCAUGAUUAAAAUAAAAAUAAAUGACGAAAGUGACCCUACAAUAGCCGACGCACUAUAGCUAAGACCCAAACUGGGAUUAGAUACCCCACUAUGCUUAGCCCUAAACACAGAUAAUCACAUAAACAAAAUUAUUCGCCAGAGUACUACUAGCAACAGCUUAAAACUCAAAGGACUUGGCGGUGCUUUAUAUCCUUCUAGAGGAGCCUGUUCUAUAUAAUCGAAUUCCCGCGGCCGCCAGGCGGC